UUAAGGGAAGAAGGGCACAUAGUGGAUGCCUUGGCAUUAGGCGGCGAAGAAGGACGUGGCAGGCUACGAAAAAGCAUGGGGAGCUGCGAGCGAGCGUAGAUCCAUGUGAAUCCGAAUGGGGCAACCUGUGCAGAGGAGAGCUGCACAUUAUGUACUGAAGCGAGUAGGUAUAUAAGGCGAACCUUCUGAAGUGAAACAUCUCAGUAAGGAGAGGAGAAGAAAUCAAAAGAGAUUCUCUGAGUAGUGGCGAGCGAAAGGGGAAGAGCCCAAACCUGGCAUAUGGAAAUAAGUUAGGGGUAGAAGGACCUAGGUUAGUAGUUUAUUUAUGAUAUAACUGAACUAGCAUGGAAAGGCUGACCGUAGGGGGUGAUAGUCCUGUAGGUGUAAUGUUAUAGAUAAGCGAAUAGGGAUCCUGAGUACCACGGGGCACGAGGAAUCCUGUGGGAAUCUGGGGGGACCAUCCUCCAAGGCUAAAUACGACCUAAUGACCGAUAGUGGACGAGUACCGUGAGGGAAAGGUGAAAAGAACCCUGGCGAAGGGAGUGAAAUAGACCUGAAACUGUGUGUUUACAAACAAUUGUAGCUUCUGAGAAGGAGUGGCAGUGUACCUUUUGAUUAAUGGGCCAGCGAGUUAUUUAAUGUAGCGAGGUUAAGCAUUUAAGGUGUGGAGCCGGAGGGAAACCGAGUCUUAAUAGGGCGAGUAGUUGCAUUAAGUAGACCCGAAACCAAGUGAUCUACCCAUGGACAGGAUGAAGGGAGGGUAAAACUUUCUGGAGGUCUGAACCGGUGUUUGUUGCAAAAAGCUCGGAUGAGCUGUGGGUAGGGGUGAAAGGCUAAUCAAACUUGGUGAUAGCUGGUUCUCCCCGAAAUGUAUUUAGGUACAGCCUGUAGAUAUUUAUAUGGGGGUAGGGCACUGGAUGGGCUAGGGCUGCGAAGGCGGUACCAAACCCAACCAAACCUUGAAUACCGUAAUAAAGUUUCUAUGGAGUGAGACUGCGGGUGCUAAGAUUCGUAGUCGAGAGGGAAACAGCCCAGAUCGUCAGCUAAGGUCCCUAAGGUAGAGCUAAGUGGUAAAGGAUGUGUUGUUACUGAUACAACCAGGAUGUUGGCUUAGAAGCAGCCAUCAUUUAAAGAAAGCGUAACAGCUCACUGGUCGAGUGGCAAUGCGCCGAAAAUUUAACGGGGCUAAAGUUCUACACCGAAGCUACGGAAUUUUGUGAAGCGUGUUCGUGAUCGUGGAAGGGGGAUUUUUAUGUGGACACGGAUGCGGUUACGUUUCACGGGGUUGGUAGGGGAGCAUUCUGUGGGCUUGAGAAGGUUAGUUGUGAAGCUAACUGGAGGUAGCAGAAGAGAUUAUGCUGGCAUAAGUAACGCAAAGGCUGAUGAGAAGUCAGUCCGCCGAAAACCUAAGGGUUCCUGGGGAAGGGAAAUCCGCUCAGGGUUAGUCGGGCCUAAGGUGAGGCCUAAGGGCGUAGCCGAUGGGUAGCAGGUUAAUAUUCCUGCACUAUGUGCAUAGCGUUAUAGACUGAAGCGGGGACGCAGGAGGAUAGUUUGGGCCUGGUGGUGGUUCAGGUACAAGCACUGAGGUUAGUGUGUAGGGAAGUCCGCGCACUGAUGAGGCUGGGGUGUGAUGUGGAAGCCUGUAAUUAGGUGAACUCAGAUGAAUUCACGCUGACGAGAAAAACCGCGUAGGGAGUUAUGUAUGUAACCGUACCGCAGACCGACACAGGUAGGUUGGUAGAAGAUACCGAGGCGAACGAGAGACCCCUCGCUAAGGAACUCGGCAAAAUAGCCCCGUAACUUUGGGAGAAGGGGUUCCUUGAGAGAGGACGCAGUAAAGAGGGCCAAGCGACUGUUUAUCAAAAACAUAGGUGUCUGCGAACUUGAAAGAGGAAGUAUAGGCACUGACGCCUGCCCGGUGCCGGAAGGUUAAUAGGAGAGGUUAUUCAGAGAUGGAGAAGCUUUGAAUUGAAGCCCCGGUAAACGGCGGCCGUAACUAUAACGGUCCUAAGGUAGCGAAAUUCCUUGUCGGGUAAGUUC
rnacentral:rRNA from 1 species